UAAUUGAAGAGUUUGAUCAUGGCUCAGAUUGAACGCUGGCGGCAGGCCUAACACAUGCAAGUCGAACGGCAGCGGGGAGUAGCUUGCUAC
rnacentral:rRNA from 1 species